ACCCGCACAAGCGGUGGAUGAUGUGGAUUAAUUCGAUGCAACGACGAAAACCUUACCUACCCUUGACAUGUCCGGAAUCCCGAAGAGAUUUGGGAGUGCUCGCAAGAGAGCCGGAACACAGGUGCUGCAUGGCUGUCGUCAGCUCGUGUCGUGAGAUGUUGGGUUAAGUCCCGCAACGAGCGCAACCCUUGUCAUUAGUUGCCAUCAUUUGGUUGGGCACUCUAAUGAGACUGCCGGUGAUAAACCGGAGGAAGGCGGGGAUGACGUCAAGUCCUCAUGGCCCUUACAUCCCGGGCUACACACGUGCUACAAUGGCAGGUACAGAGGGCUGCGAAGCCGCGAGGUGGAGCGAAUCCCAGAAAACCUGUCUCAGUCCGGAUUGAAGUCUGCAACUCGACUUCAUGAAGGCGGAAUCGCUAGUAACCGCGAAUCAGCAGGUCGCGGUGAAUACGUUCCCGGGCCUU
rnacentral:rRNA from 1 species